rnacentral:lncRNA from 1 species
GUACGAUUUUUGAAAUAUUUCUUUCACUUGAUUCUCAGACUCAAGAGUAGGGGGGUAGUGUUACGGUGGUUACCAUGAGUAUCUCGGAUCAGUGUGAUAAUUAUGGGGUGCCUCAGAUCUUCAAUCUAUCAUCGAGACUAAAGCGUGGAGCCGUAUGCAGAGCAGAGCUACUUACGCCUUGUCCACUGCAUGAUCUGCCUGGCACAUCUUAUUGCCUCGGCGGGCCAAUGUCUUAACAUGUGGGCUGUUCCUGUUAUCACAG